rnacentral:rRNA from 1 species
GACGAACGCUGGCGGCGUGCCUAAUACAUGCAAGUAGAACGCUGAAGGAGGAGCUUGCUCUUCUGGAUGAGUUGCGAACGGGUGAGUAACGCGUAGGUAACCUGCCUGGUAGCGGGGGAUAACUAUUGGAAACGAUAGCUAAUACCGCAUAACAGUAGAUGUUGCAUGACAUUUGCUUAAAAGGUGCAAUUGCACCACUACCAGAUGGACCUGCGUUGUAUUAGCUAGUUGGUGGGGUAACGGCUCACCAAGGCGACGAUACAUAGCCGACCUGAGAGGGUGAUCGGCCACACUGGGACUGAGACACGGCCCAGACUCCUACGGGAGGCAGCAGUAGGGAAUCUUCGGCAAUGGACGGAAGUCUGACCGAGCAACGCCGCGUGAGUGAAGAAGGUUUUCGGAUCGUAAAGCUCUGUUGUAAGAGAAGAACGAGUGUGAGAGUGGAAAGUUCACACUGUGACGGUAUCUUACCAGAAAGAGACGGCUAACUACGUG